GAAAAGAGCAAGCAUGGAGCAAUGGAGAAGCGGGCUGCCCCCAACCCAUGUAGUAUGUCUGCUGUGAUUGUUAUCUGAUUAUCUUGGAGAAACUCUCUUGGAGAAACUGAGUUAGCAAUAACUGGAAACGAGAUGCAAUGAGACUGAGAACCAGAACAACAGCUGCUGCUCUUAACAGAGGCUCAUUUUGCCUCUUUUCCUUUCACAAAAGCCAAGAACAAUGGAGAGAGAAUGGGACCAUUGAAGAAAGUGGAAAUGGCAAUUUAAUAUGCUCCCCUCAGAAACAAGAUAGCAGAUUGGUGAUCCAGUGGUGACCAGGUCUACAUGGUUUGUGAUGAGCCAGAACACCCAGGUCCUAGAACUACACAUCCCAUUACCUACAUUGCAGGACUCCAGUGGAAAUAUCAUUGUUUGGAGAAUAGCCAACUGACAAUGUUAUUCCUCCUCAAAGGGAGAAACUUCUUUAAAUCUGCAAGAAUUUUACUCUGUACCUUUGAUGUGAAAAUUUCAUCAUCUGUUUCUGGGAAAGCUUGCUACGUUAUAUAAGAAUAUAAAGAAAGAAAUGAAGAGAGGCCACCAGUCUCAACUUUUGCAAUCUACAGAUUUCAGCUUCAAAGCAAAAACGACAGAUUAAUUUCUCAAGUCUUGAAUUUUACUUGGAAGGAAAACAACAUUCAGAUCUUAUUUGCAUCUGAUGGCUCAGUUUUAUAAAUGGCAAAGCCAUAAGCUUGUGCACAGAACUCCUUCUGGGACUGGCAUCUGUGCUCAUGCACUGCAUCCUAAAAGUGGUGAAGAGCUUUCUACCUAUAUCUACUUUUUGAAAGAUGUCACUGUGAAAUGUGUUAUUGCCUGAUAGCAUGUGAAUAACAUCCUCAGCCAGAACCCUGGAAUCCUUUGCUGUUUGGGACAAUUCACCCUCCCAUAAUUGCAAUCUUUGUGAGCCUAGCCACUCUUCUGCAUAAGGUCAUAGCCCAGAAUGAUCCACCUCUUCCUUGAUAUCUCCCGAUUUGGUCAUAGCCCAGAAUGAUCCACCUCUUCCUUGAUAUCUCCCGAUUUGUUCCUUUCCUUAGCACCAGGUAGCUAUAGUCCUCUUUAACUUACUGUGUUUCAUUCUUUCACUCCCUUGUCCUUCCCAGAGCAUAACUGUGAGCAAAGUGGAUAUGAGGUAACAUUGACAGGUGAGAAAUCGUGCUAUUAUCUCCCUUAGGAGUUAUACCAUUUUGCAACCUGAAAGGUUAAGAUUAGGGAAACCAAUCAUUCCAAGUGACAUCUUAUAUAAAAGACACAUCUAAUUU
rnacentral:lncRNA from 1 species